UACGUAGGGACCAAGCGUUGUUCGGAUUUACUGGGCGUAAAGGGCGCGUAGGCGGCGUGGUAAGUCACUUGUGAAAUCUCUGAGCUUAACUCAGAACGGCCAAGUGAUACUGCUGUGCUAGAGUGCAGAAGGGGCAAUCGGAAUUCUUGGUGUAGCGGUGGAAUGCGUAGAUAUCAGGAGGAACACCGGUGGCGAAGGCGGGUCUCUGGGCCGAUACUGACGCUGAGGAGCGAAAGCGUGGGGAGCGAACAGG
rnacentral:rRNA from 1 species